AAUUAAGUUGACAACUUGAGUUUCCAGCACUAUAAAUACCACCAUUUCAAUUGUUUGUUUCAUCACCAAGAAAUCAACAGAAAAUAAGAGCUAUGGCAAAGUACACUACUUUUCUUGCCCUUCUCUUUUGCCUCUUCCUUGUUGUUGCAACUGAAAUACAAAUGGUAGAAGGAAAAUAUUGUUGGAAAAAGAGUAACAAGUGGAAUGGACCAUGUCAAUACUCUUACAAAUGUAGUCAUCAUUGCAAGUACUACUAUGGAGCUAAAUAUGGUAUUUGUAAGAAGUACAAACCAUGGGGUCACAAAUAUUACUGGGCAAAAUAUGCUUGCUACUGUUAUUCACCUUGCCACUACUAACAAACGUUAAGUGUCUCAUGGCUUGGCUUUGACAAUUGUAAACAAACAAUUAAGAAGCUGCCUAUUUUAUGUGUGUAAUAUGAUGAAAUAAGGCUGAUUUAUGUGUGCUACCAUUUUGGCCAAGCUUUAGGUGAUGACUAAGUGUAUUGUAUUGUAUGACUUUCUAUUAAUAUUAAUAAUUGCCAACAAGGUACUUUUUUUA